rnacentral:lncRNA from 1 species
UAGACAGUAACUAUGGUUCAGUGAUUUAUUACAUUUGGAUUCAUCUGGUUUUAUGAAUGUAAUAAAGGAUUUAUAAUUCUUGCAAAAAAAAUAAAAUGGUUUUCUACCCCUCGUGAUAGCGAGUUUUAAAAUGGAAAAGGUUUUUGUAUGGGAAGCGAUUUUUAAAAGAAUUUUCUGAUUUUUCCUAGAUAUUAGUAUUUCGAAACGAGUUUCCGAGUAGGAAACGUUUUAAACUGAUAGAUAUGGAUUUAUGAAAAUUUAUGAUGAAAUAACUGUGGAUGUGGAUGGUGAAUGAAUGUGGAUGUUCAUAUGUGUGGUUGUAUCUUGUAUCGUGUAUUUUGUACUUGUGCGACGCCGUGCAAAUACAUGGGAGACUCUGUUUGCGUGAACAAUGGACUCCUUAUAUUUAUGGCGGAUCUGGCAUACCCUGAGGGUUAGG